GUGGGGAAUAUUGGACAAUGGGGGGAACCCUGAUCCAGCCAUGCCGCGUGUGUGAAGAAGGCCUUUUGGUUGUAAAGUACUUUAAGCGAGGAGGAGGCUACCGAGAUUAAUACUCUUGGAUAGUGGACAUUACUCGCAGAAUAAGCACCGGCUAACUCUGUGCCAGCAGCCGCGGUAAUACAGAGGGUGCAAGCGUUAAUCGGAUUUACUGGGCGUAAAGCGCGCGUAGGUGGCCAAUUAAGUCAAAUGUGAAAUCCCCGAGCUUAACUUGGGAAUUGCAUUCGAUACUGGUUGGCUAGAGUAUGGGAGAGGAUGGUAGAAUUCCAGGUGUAGCGGUGAAAUGCGUAGAGAUCUGGAGGAAUACCGAUGGCGAAGGCAGCCAUCUGGCCUAAUACUGACACUGAGGUGCGAAAGCAUGGGGAGCAAACAGGAUUAGAAACACUGGUAGUCC
rnacentral:rRNA from 1 species